AGACGGAGUCCCGCUCUGUCACGCAGGCUGCCAGGCUGGCGUACAGUGGCGCAAUCUCAGCUCGCUGCAACCUCCACCUCCUGGGUUCAAGCGAUUUUCUUGCCUCUGCCUCCUGAGUAGCUGGGAUUACUGGCACACACCACCAUGCACAGGUAAUUUUUUUAUAUUUUUUAAUAGAGACAGGGUGUUGGCCAGGCUGGUCUUGAAAUCCUGACUUCAGUGAUCUGCCCGUCUUGGCUUCCCGAAGUGCUGUGAUUACAGCCAUGAGCCACCGUGCCCGGCCAACUCUUCUCAGUUCUAAGUGUCCUAACACCCUUCAUCUCCUGCUGACUGCAAGGCAGUUCUCAGGGAGGAGCCUGGAUUGUGUCCAUGUAUAAAGAAAGACUCUGCUGCUGAUGUGCAAAGGAAUGUGGAUGUGAUAGUUUCCAGCCUGAAAGUCCCCCUCUUUUCAUCUCCGCAGUAUAGUUCUUAGAAACAACAAGCCUUGCUUUUACAGUGAGUCCAUAUCUAAAACUUUAUCUGAACCCAAAAUACCUGAGAUAGGUCUCAGUCAAUUUAGAGAGUUAAUUUUGCUAAGAUUAAGCAUGUAUCCAAGACAGCUUCAGGAGGUCUUGACAACGUGACAACAUGUGUCCAAGGUGGUUGGGGCACAACUUGGUUUUAUACAUUUUAGGGAGAUAUGAGACAUCAAUCAAUAUAUGUAAGAUGUACAUCAGUUUCGUCUGGAAAGAUGGGACAACAUGAAGCAGGGAGGGGGCUCCCUGGUGACAGUUCCUUGUUCAAAAUGCCAAGAACCUGGAUGACUCAUAGUCAAGACCCUCCACCAGUAACAUAUAUUGGCGAGCCAGCCAGGAGCUUGGAACCCUCGGUGGACAGUGCCUAAGCACAGAGGCAACCACAGGUUUCUAACAGGGCCACUCUCUGGUGAAACUGAAAGGUUUCUGUGUGAAAGUGCCUGACCACCACUGCCCAAUUCAGACCACUACAGGAAACACUCCAUUUAUUCCACCUGACUUCCCACUUGGCUGCAUCCUCAACCAUUGAAAUGAAUUUGACCCUGAUAAUCUAAGGAGGAAACAUUUGAUAUUCUUUUGCAAUAAUACUUGGCCCCAGUAUUGUUUGGAAUCUGGAGUUUGCUGUUGAAUGGGAAAGCAGGAUGACGUUGCAUGUAUCCAGGCUUUGGUGCUGCUGUCCUAAGAAGGGUCAGGCCUAGUCAGCAUAUGGUGCUCUCCUUUGGUGCUAUUUGGCUCCAGUGUCUUUGGAGUCUGAGGAGGUUUGGCCUUUAAAAAUCAAACUGCCACCGGAACUGCUUUAAAAAUGUUUGGUUCACAGCCUUCACUGGAUUACCUAUUGGAGCAAACAAAGUGUAACCAUGUAAAACCUGUGAGCUUGUAUUGAUAUCUCAUGGCUAGAGUUCCAAGGUAAAAGCUAUUGGAUCUUCGUUUGUGUGUGUGUAUACAUGUCUAGAUGUGUUUAUUUGUAUGUACACUUAUUGUUAUAUGUUGUGUCAACCAAAUCAGCUUAUAAAUAAAAAAGCACUCAUAAAUUAAAUAAAUAAGUCCAAGCAAUUUUCAAGUUCAUGUGACUUAAGUAAAUCUUCAUUAAAUAGCUGGCUUUAAAAUUAUUGGUAAAAUGAAAAUAGAAAUAUCUUCAGAAUUGUCAGCAUACAUUUUUGUCUGGGUUUUAUAUUUGUCUUUGCUAGAAAUGUUGAAGUGUCAGCAUUUGGCAUAGAAGAUUAUAAAGCUAUUAACCCAGCCAAAACAAAAUGGCCUUAGUUUAUGUGGCUUCUUUGACAAAUGAGACUAAUUUAAUAUUGUUAGCUAAAUCUUCUGGGUUAUUGGCAAAAACACCUAUGUAUUUAACUGUGAGGUUCUUAUUUAGGUGAACACAUAAUGUUCAUUGGCUAUUAAAAAUGGUUAACAAAUAAAUAACUAACUUUAAAUGAUGGUGUCUAAUAUCUCAGUUUUCAGAAGUAAUCUAGAUAAACUGUUAAAAAUGAAAGACUUAAGUACAUGUAAAUGGGAUGAAUGAUUAGGUAAAUUUUGUGUAAUUUAAAAUCUUAAAAGUAUUUUUGAUGCCCAUUGGAUAUCUCAGUCAUUUCCAAUUAAGAAAGGGUUAUGAUAGGGAGGAAUAUGUUUCCAAAAAUUGUGGAAUUAUUCUCAUCUAUAAAAUGCUAAUAUCUGAUAGUUUAGGAUUUUUUGCUUCCUAAGGUUUCACUAAAAUUUAAGGUUACUAAGAUGAUAUGGUUUGGCUUUGCAUCCCCACCCAAAUCUCUUCUUAUAACUCCCAUAAUUACCGUGUGUUGUGGGGAGGGAUCCAGUGGGUGAGAGAUGAUUGAAUUAUGCUGUUCUCAUGAUAGCGAAUGGGUCUCAUGAGAUCUGAUGGUUUUGAAAAUGGGAGUUGCCCUGCACAAGCUCUCCUUUUGCCUGCUGCCAUCCACAUAAGAUGUGAUUUGCUCUUCCUUGCCUUCCACCAUGAUUGUGAGGCCUUCCCAGCAUGUGGAAAUGGUCCAGCCUGCAAUAACUGAAGCCCCCAGACCUGGAACCUGAAGAUCCCAUCAGCCACUAAACCUGUGAACCUGUAGAAGACCUGAAGUACCUGUUUAAAAGGCAGCCAAAAGAUAAGUAAAUUCCUAUCAACUUUCCUUGGUGUCCUUCUUGUAUAUUUACUGUAAGCUGGAUAUAAUAGUAGCCAUUUUUAUAUUUUUACAAUUUAAUUGCUUUCUUCCAAAUGGAUUGAAUCACUUCUUUUAAAGUGUUUUAAUUAAUUUUUAUCUAUAGAACAAAAUAACAAAUAAGUAUUUUUUUUUUAUACCAUAAUGGUCACCCACAGCCUGUGUAUACUAAGACCAUGCAUACUGAUAAUCAGCUUUAUUUUACAAAAGAGUUUCGCUUUACCCCUCUGGUAAUUAAUGGAUUCUGGGUAUUUAUUAAAAACUUUAACACAAAGACUGUUAAAUACCACCAGUCCAGCUUUGGCAAGGCACUGUU
rnacentral:lncRNA from 10 species